rnacentral:rRNA from 1 species
UACGUAGGGGGCGAGCGUUGUCCGGAUUUACUGGGCGUAAAGGGUGAGUAGGCGGUUAUAUAUGUCAGGUGUAAAAGGCUAUGGCUUAACCAUGGUUAGCACUUGAAACUGUAUGACUUGAGUGCAGGAGAGGUAAGUGGAAUUCCUAGUGUAGCGGUGAAAUGCGUAGAUAUUAGGAGGAACACCAGUGGCGAAGGCGACUUACUGGACUGUAACUGACGCUGAGUCACGAAAGCGUGGGUAGCAAACAGGAUUAGAUACCCGUGUAGU